GUCCUUUUAGGAUUUACUGUUACGUCAUCAUGGCAAAUGAAGUUGUACUACUGGAUAUAACUUAACACUGAUAAGAAAAGGAGGGAAAAGUCGAACUAAUUUUGUAUGGUAACCAACCUUAUGCCACAAAUGCUUUCAACUGAGCUUCAGUUGUACUGAACCCGGAAUAUUCCUUUAAGGUGAAAUGUGAGCCAGACAUUAAAAUAGUGAUAAUCAGACCUGUUCUCAUCAAGCCUUCAUCUCUGGACAAGAUUAACAGACAGACCAGCUGGCAUCACCAUGGCAGCUGCAUUUGGAAAUCAUCAACAGGGAAUUUGAAAAGAGAGUCUUCCGUUCUGAUGAAGGCAGUUUAUUUGAUGAAGACCAUAAGAAGCUGAAAGUGAGAGUGGCAUCAAUAUCAACUAGAUAGAUAGACAGACAGACAGACAGACAGACAGAUAGACAGAGAAACUAAAAAUGCCAUAUCCAGUAAGAUAAAUGAAUUACAAAAGAAUUCAAUUAUUUCUUUAUUCAUCAGUUUAAUUAAUUUCAUUUCUAUAAUUAGCCCACCCGAAAAAAUAUAAAUUCAGAUUCAUUCAAAAAGAAAUUAAAUUAAAGGAUGAAAUGAUAACAGCAGUCAUUAUAUAAUUAUUACAAUAAUAAUAAUAAUCAUAGUUCAAUAAUCAGAAUAUCAACAUUCAUAUUAAAUCCAAAAACAUUGGCAAUACACUCUAACAUACGCUCUUUCUAUUACUAUAUAUAUAUAUAUAUAUAUAUAUAUAUAUAUAUAUAUA